AGAUACUUCUGCUCAUGUGGAAUCCACAGCCCAGAACUCCAGCUCUCUCCAGGAGGCAGGAACACAUGGCAUUUUAAAAAGAACCAGGAGGAAACAGUAGUGACUAAACAGAAACACUGGACAACAGUAGAGGACAUCCAGCUGAUUAUUAACUGCAUUUUCUAUUACUGUCUGAGAAGAUUUGAAGGGUGGACGUCCUCUUGUUCAUCUGCUUCUACUACAGGCAGGAAAGUGCUUCAGCACUCUGAUGGAAAGAACACCAGAGAUCUUCUCUCGCCCCAGCUGCUGCUGCCUCUAAAAGUGAUGGGAAGUCAGUGGAUAGCAAGUGGUUGUUCUGGGGCAACAGAUCUGCCAUCUCAAAAGAUGCACUCCAGAUCCGCUCAAAGUGGCAAAACAAAGGUAGGA
rnacentral:lncRNA from 1 species